rnacentral:sRNA from 1 species
UAAAUAUUAAUUUCGUAUAUCGAUAGGGUUAAUUUGCACGUUGGCAUUUGCUAAUUUAAUUACCAGGGAAUUAAAACGGUUGUUAAAUUUUGGUAUUAACCUUUUAAAUUUCGAAAAAUUUAGGGCGUGGAAUUUCCGAUAUAGCGAAUUUUUGCUAAUUUCGGGUGCAACGGAAUAAUUAUUUUCCAGGGUUUUAUAGGCCGUUACAGGAUUGGAAUACCAUGCAAUAAAUUUUAAAAAAUUUUUGGUUAGGUUGUUUUUAAUAAAUAAUAAUAAAAUUAAUUAUUUAUAUUCCGGUAAAUUAUAACCAAUUUCACGGUUGGAAAUAAAUUCCGCAGUUUUUAUAAUUUUAAAUUGUAUUAUAAAUGCCUGUUUUUACAAAUCGUAAUUGUUAACCCCUAUUAAUUUGCAAUUUUCGGGGAAAAAAAUACCCGUUUUAAUAAUUUUUUACCUAUUCCGUUAUUUAAAAUUAGGUUACCGGGUAAAUUAGGUGGUGCGGUAACGGUAUUAACGUUAAAAAUUUGUGGGUUGGCCUCCAAAUUACCGCUAUUGGGGGUAUUAAUACCCGCAAUACCAUUAAAAUUAAUGGGUUUACCAUUUUUUAACGUUAACAAAAAUGUUAAUUGUUAGAUUAUAUGCUGAAAUUAAUUUAAUUGCGUAAUUAACGUUUUUAAUUGCAGGUUUUGGGCCUGUAAUUUAACGGUAAAAAUUUCGUUUGGGCUGGGUUUAGGGCCCCUAUUUAGUGGAAUUGGGCCUGGGAGGCCCAAUAUAGGGCUGUUUUCCAUUGUAGGGUGGCCUAAAUUAUAAUUAAAAAUUAAUUAAUUUAAUCGCCUAAAAGUAAAUACCCCAAUUUAGGAUUUUUUAUAACCGUUUACCUUUUAACGGUUACAGGCCUAUAUUUGCCAAAUAUAGGGUUUAUUAUUAUUUUUAAUGGUCGAAUCCAUUGAAAAUACAGGGUUGGAAUCCCUAAAUCCAUAAUUAAUGGGUGCCCUGGUAUUUGUACCAAUCCAGAUGCAUUAACGAUCGAAAUUUAAUUCGCUAAAUGGGUGCAGGGUAACCUGCAGGGUAAUUUGCAACGUUCGGUUAAUAAAUUAUUGGGCUAUUAACGGACGAAUACAGGGGUUUUGGCCCUAUUUCGUUAACGCAAACCUUAAUUAACGCAUUAAAAAUUUAAACCAAUUGCAAUAGCAAUGCACGACCUAUAAAAAUUACACCAAAAAUUUUGGAAUUUGCAAUCAAACGAACGCUGCAAUGCCUGAAAAUUGGGCCUAAAUUAAACGUUAAUAUAACGACCCUUUAUUAUAAAUAUAGGGGGGAUAAAUGUUAACGUAACAUUUAUAACCAACAAUUUGCAUAAAACAGCAAUAUUUUCGUUAAUAUACGUGCUGCGGGUAUGCGAUAAUAACCAAAUUAAAACCUGAAAACAGGGUUUUCCAACAAUGCAAAAUGCAUUUUAAUGCACUAAUUAAAAUUUUUCCGGGUUUAUAACUUGUUAAAAAUUUGGGUGUUAAUAGGGGAUAUAAAAGUAACCCCUAGGUGCGGCGUGGUAAAUAACCAAUGCUAAAAACGCAAAAUGGUAGGUAAAAAUGCAUUAUAAUUUUGGUAUUGAAAACAAUUAAAUUAAUUGGGGAAAUUUUGCUUUGUUUCCUUAUAUAUUUUCCGAUAUCGAAAUAGGGGUCGGUACGCCAAAAAGGUUUCCGGUACCGCAAAUAAAUUUCCGAAAAAUUAAUUUAUAUGGGCUUUUGAAAAAACACCUUUAUUUGCUAAUAAACCAUUUUUGGGUUUGCACGCAAUUGGAAUUUUGGUAAAUUUCAACCCAAUAUAAGGUAGUUAAUUUGCAGGUGCAGGGUGGGUAUUAAACCCGGUACAGGGUAAAUAACCCCACUCGCUAAUUUUUAAAUUGUAUUCCUGCAUUAACAAAAUAACGGAAUUCCACCAUUCCACCACCCCAUUUCGGCACUAUAUAAAAUGGAUUAUAUAUAAAUAAAAGUGGGUUUAUUAUAUGCAAAAUAAUGCAUAUAAUUAACAUAUAUGGGUGCCGUUUUUCGACAAAAUUAUUAUUUCGCGCAACGUUUGUUUUAACAAAUUCUUUUUCUAUAAAAAACCCGAUCAAAAGGUAAAAAAAAACCGGUAAAUUUAUUAAUAAAUAUAAAUUGCUAAUUAAUAUAAUUUAUAAACCCAAUUUGGAAUCGUUAAAUAUAAACGUUACCGAAAAAUUGGGCCUGUUAUAAAAUAGGCCAACGUUUAUACCCGAUCCCAAAAUAUUUAUUUCCGAAUGGGAAAGUAAUAACGUUUAAUAACAAUUAAUACGAAACGCGAAAAAAUUAACCGAAACCCAAAUUACGAAAAUAAAAAUUUAAAUUGUUUUAACGCCCGCCCAAUUUACAAUUAAUACUAAAUUUCCAAACGGUACGGUUAAUUAAUCGAAACCGUUUAAAAAAUAUAUAUAAAUAAAAAUUAACGAACCCAAAAAAGGUAUUUUAAUGGCGUUAAAACGUUUAACAGUUUUGGAAAACGUAUAAACGACGUUUAAAACAAAAAAUAAUAUAUAUUACCUCGGAAUGCGCACCCCGAAUAAUAUAAAAUCCCCAUUAUAAAUAUUAACAAAUUUCAGCGAAACGUUGCAUACGCCGAAACCAGUUUAAAAUAUAUUAAAAACGGAACCGGAUUUCGGUACAAUUAAAAUAACGUAUAAAAUCCCUACGCCAAAUUAAUCCGUAAUAGGGGGUAUAAAAACCCCUAAAUUACAAGUUUGUAUCGAUGUACCCGCGCAAAUAAAUAAACCGGUUUUAGCGCCGGAAUUUCCUAAUUCGGGCCCCACGCGUAUAUUAAAAUUAAAACGUUCGUUACGCAUUAUUAAACCUAUUAUUAAAAUAUUGGAAUUGGGUUUUAAAACGCGUAAAUAACGCGGGGGCGGAAACGUAUAACGGAAAAGGCGCAGGGGUAAUAAUAACGGCACGGGUUUUGCAAAUAUAAUUAUUUUAAUAAAAAAAAUAAAAAUAAACGGAAAUAAUAACGUGCUAACCAAAUAAAUAUAUAAUAUAAACCGGAUAUUAGUACCAAAUUUUAACACGUGGGUAACGUUUUUUACAACGUUUUUACCUAAUUAACAAAAUAUAUUAAAAAACGGUAAUUAUAAUUACAAAACUUUUUACGAAAUUAUUAUAACGGUAAUUUAAUAAAAAAACCGGAUUUGAAAAUUAAAAUAUAUCGAAACGACCUAUAACCAAUUCCGAAAAUCUGGAAAAAAAAAUUUCAAUUAUUUAAACCGCGAGUAAUUUUACCAAAUAGCACGUUUGGAAUGGGGCAUUUUAAAGGAUAAAAGAAUUUGGGAAAUAAUUUCGAAAUCGAAAUGUAUUUUAAAACCAAUUUUUUUAAUAUAAAUAUUUAUUUACAAAUUCGACAAAAACGGGUAUUUGCAACGGUAUAAAACAAAAUUCGUGGUCCAAAACGAUUAAUAAACGCCCAAUAUAUUUAAAAAUAUUUAUAUAAUAAUAUUGGCAACGCGCAAUUUUAAAUUAACGUUCGCGUUAAUAAUAUAUUUUAAUUUGGAAAUAAUAUAAAUAAAUAUUAAUAACGUUUUUUUUAAUAUUAUAUUGGUAAUAGAAAAACCCGUUUAUUAUACCGCUCCGCAGGGUUUUGGCAAUAAAAAUACUGCUUUUAAAUUACGAAAAACGUUUUACGGUAUAAAAAAAUCUCCCAAAUUUUGGUACGAAAAACUGUUAAAAUUUUUACAGGAAUUGGGGUUUAUAUUUGUGGGAAACAAACCUUAUAUAUAUAUAUAUAUCCGAAAGAAACAAAAUUAUUAUUAUUUUUUUUAUUAAUAAUAUUGUUAUUUUUUAUUCCAAAAAAAACACGGGGCACGGUUAGGCCGUAAUUUUAAAAUUAAAGGCGAUAUACGAAUUGAAGGAAAAACCGCUAUCUUAAUUCCUCGGAAUGCGCGUUUUCCGGGAUAAAAAACGUCGCACCGCCAUUUUAUUAUAUAAUUUUUAUAUCGAAAAAAUCGCCAUGCGUUUUGGAUUAAUUAAAAGCAAAAAAUACCCAAAUACGCCGUUCCCAAAAAGAUUUAUACCCAAAUUCGACGGUUAAACGUCCCCUGGAAAAAUUAAAAUUUAUUAGGAAAUAAUUGGGUUUAUUUUAUAUAUAAUUAUUAUAUUUUAACCGGAUAUUACGCACGCCGUUUCGUUAUUUUUACGGUUUUUAACCAAUUUUAACCUAUUUUAUAAACGCCUAACCAAACAAAUGCUGCAAUAUUUAUACGGUUCGAAAUUUUUAAAUAUUAGGUACGGUAUUAACCCAACGAUUUAACAUUUGGUAAUAACAAAUAAUUUUUUUUAAUAAUAAUCCAAAAAUUAAAAAAUCCUCCGAAAAAUACGUAAUAAUAUUAUUUGGCGGCGUUAUUAAUUGGAGGGCGGUUAGGCAAACCACGGUUACCAUUUUAAUUACGGAGGUAAAAUUAAACGCGUUAUUUAAAACGGCUAAAAAACCCAUGGCGUUAAAACGGAUUUUCCGUAAUAUACGGUUGGAUUUGGGUUAAUUUUGGAAUUUAUAUUGUAAUAAUAAAUAAAUAAUACGUUUAAUGGUCGAUAAAAAUUAGCGUAUUAGCAUUAAUUUACGUUAUAUUAAUAUUUAAAAUAUAUAAUUUAAAUAAAAACACGCGCGAAAAAAUUUUGUAAUUACGUAUUUGGAAAUUAAAUUUAUAUUUGCAAACGGAUUUACAAAACUUUUUUCCAUAAAUAAAUUCGAACAUUUCAAAUCGCUUUUGAAUUUGUACGACGUUUAAUAUGAAAUGCAAAAAAAUUUACGAAUAAAAUAAAAAAUAUAAUAAUAAAAUAAUAUAACGUUUUAUUUUAUUUUUUAAAAAAAAAAAACAAGGAGGCAAAACAGCGGUUUUUUUUAUAAAAAAAAAACAAGAUAAUAAUUAUUAAUUU